GGACCAAAUUUGGAGUAGAGUAGAUUACUAGAAUCAGUUGGUCAUACGAAUCUACUCUACUUCGAGUUUGUGCCC
rnacentral:pre_miRNA from 1 species